rnacentral:lncRNA from 1 species
AUGGGAAUACAGAAAUUUUCCUUCUACCCUUAUGAGAAAGAUGAAGAAGAGGCUCAUCAACACAUAAGCAAACCUCAGAGGACUUGUGCUUCUUCACUGCCCUGGCGUGGUGGAACAGUGACUUCUCUACACACUCUGCAACCUUAUACACAACAACAGGUUGGUAAACUAUGGCUGUGUUCAAAGCCUGAUGUUGAAAGCAUUUUUGCUGCAUUGAUUAGUAGGAAAUUGCACUGCAGAGAACUCUCUGAAGAGGUGUCUUUAAUUUUCUCUGUUACUUUUGUCAUUGCUAGUAAGCGCCUCACUUAAUUAACAUUGCUCUGUGUGCUCUCAAGGAUUUUGUCCUUUCCUCUUCUCUCAUCGUGAGCCACCUUCUCCUUAUGAGAAAGUGUCUCAAGAUGGGGCCUUAAGGGAAGAAAUGCUCUGUAGGAUCUUUACAAAGCUUUUGCCAGGCUCCUUUAGGUGAGAGUAGGGUUUCAGCCAUCCAUCCCAAAAUGAGCAGCUGUCACCUCUGUGCACUGAAAAUGCCUAAAAUCUGUACCCAUUGUCAGUGGAGGACUCUGUAUGCAGAUGUAUGUGGGGAAGCCAGGUUGGGGUGUGUCUGCUGUAAUGGGUGAUGUUCCCUUCUGGUGUUUUAGCUGUGCUGAACUGGGCCUGUUUGGUGUGGGGGUUGAUUUUAUCGCAUCUUUCAAUGGCAGCUGAAGCCAUUGUGAUCAAAACCGAAAUUAGAGCCAUGUUGUGACAUUUGGAAAGGAUAUAGUGAAAACUCUUUAAAUGUUAUUGGGUCACUGAGAAAGGAUGGGGUUGGUGUUGGCACAGACGCAGCACUUAAGGAGCCUGGGUGUUUCUAAAUAGGUUUCUGCCCUCUUUUUUUUCCUUUUUACAAAUGGUGUUUGACCCCAGUAUUGCGGAGCCAGCUGGGAAACACAGAUGAAGGAGAGCUAUAAAGAUCUCUUUCCAACAGCCCUGUUUUAGGAACCCACCCACUCAGGGCAGAAGUUUGAGAGAAAAUUGAGUUUUGCUGAAGAGCGUCACCCAAAUGGGCACAAAGCCAGGCCAAUGCCCACUGGUCUGAAAGAGAGAGAGUUCUGUUAUAUAAAACUGCUAUUCAAGGGCCCUAUGGAUCCACACAACGUCCAUGAAGAUAGUAUUAGUGCUUCCAUCUGUUUCUUAACUAUUUCAUAGAUUAUUUUUUUUAUAGUGAGGGUGUACUUUUGGAGGCUAUUGCGUGUUUCCUCCAAAGAACCUGAAAAAUUACUAUUUUUUAUUAAAUAUAACAACAUUUUUUUCUACAGGACUUAUUUGUUUCUGGUACUUCUGAACUCCAUCUGGUUAGUUUCCCUCCAUACAUUUGUUGUUACAGCUGCCUUUAAAAAAACACUGAGCAUAAUGUCUCUGCUUCAUGCUCUUGAUUUUUAUUCAUGUCACUAAUAAUGGCACUGGUUCUGAUAAUAGUGACUCUGCGUUCACAGUCAAUGGGUACAUUUUCCUCCUGCAGAGAAAAAUUAAUUGUUUGUCUAACUUUGUUGGGGCAAAUACAGGGCUCAGUGCCUCUGCCUUCCUCUCAUUAGAGUCAGUAAAACCUUCCCUCUGAUUCUUGGGGCCUUUCACCAGUAUACCGAAUGGAGCUUCUUGAAAUACAAAGUAUUUUUCUGUUCUCAUAACUUAUAGUCACAAACUUGCUGGAUUUGAUGACUGGUGGUUUUGAAGCCGGUUCCAAGAUCAGUUUCAAAUAAAUGCCAGUUCCCAAAUUCA